ACUCUUCAACCCUCCAAUUCCUUGUUUGAAUUGCGAGGUGUUUGGAUUUUGAGCGCUUUGCUGGUUUCUUUUCAAUAAGAAGCGUAGCUCGCUCGUAAUACAUUAGCACACUAAUCCCGAAUUGUUCGGAUUGACUCGGCGUAAUAGACUUUAUUCGCUGAGGACACCUUUCAUUAGGUGGCCGAACUAAUUCAAUCUUAUUAGUAGCUUCUAACUCACAAUUUGAAGUCAAAUUUCUAAG
rnacentral:misc_RNA from 1 species